CUGUUCCAAGACCUGUGGAGGAGGUAUUCAGAUGACGCGUUAUGGCUGCCGUAAGAAUGCAGAGAUGAGGAUGGUCCAUCGCAGAUUCUGUGAGAAAAUCAAGCAGCCUCCGCCCCUGUUUAGAGACUGUUACUUGAGAGAGUGUGCUCAGCCCAUCUGGGUGGCUGGAGAGUGGGGCGAAUGCAGUAAGUCUUGUGGGAAGACGGGAACUCAGACACGUUCUGUACGCUGCGUCCAACCUCUGGGCGACGGCAAGUUCAAAUCCAUUCGCAGCCGUUACUGCAGUGAUGAGCGCCCAGAGUCCCGCAGAGACUGCAAUCGCAACCUG